rnacentral:rRNA from 1 species
GAGUCAGACCGUGGGGGCUAAGCUCCAUGUGUCAAAAGGGAAACAGCCCAGACCGCAAUUUAAGGUCCCUAAAUCCAAACUCAGUGUGAAAGGUGGUGAUUUGACUCAAACAGUUAGGAGGUUGGCUUAGAAGCAGCCACCCUUUAAAGAAAGCGUAAUAGCUCACUAACCAAGUUGGGUUGCGCCGAAAAUGUAACGGGGCUUAAGUUUGGUACCGAAAAUGCGGAUUCAUUAAAUUUAUUUAAUGAGUGGUAGAGGAGCAUUCUGUAUGCGCUGAAGUGAGACCCGCGAGGGAUCGUGGAGCGUACAGAAGAGAGAAUGUUGGCAUGAGUAGCAAAAAGGCAGGUGAGAACCCUGCCCACCGUAAGUCUAAGGUUUCCUGGGCAACGCAAAUCGACCCAGGGUUAGCCGGUCCUAAGGCGAGGCCGAAAGGCGUAGUCGAUGGACGAGCAGGUUAAUAUUCCUGCGCUACAGCAGGUUUUCGAUGGGGUGACGCAUCGGCAGAGAUUAAGCGAGCUAUGGGAUGUUCGUUGCUGGCUAAGGCGUGGUAAUUGGUAAAUCCGUUACCGCAAGCGCUGAGGUUGGCAGAAGAGGAAGGUUUUACCGGACUCAAUUUAGUUAAAGCAGGUGACUAGAAAAACCUCUAGAGUUAAGCUUGUUGUAACCGUACCGUAAACCGACACAGGUAGACGGGCGCAAAUGUGCCAAGGUGUACGAGAUAAUCAUCGUUAGGGAACUCGGCAAAACAGUAUCCGUAAGUUCGCAAUAAGGAUUCCCCACACCUUUCUGUUUAUAAGCAGGAUUAUAGUUGAAUGAAUUUAACUUAAUUCCAGUUUGUAAUUAGAAAGGUGUGGGGCGCAGCGACUGACUCCAAACGACUGUUUACCAAAAACACAGGUCCCUGCCAAAGCGCAAGCUGAUGUAUAGGGGCUGAUGCCUGGCCAGUGUCCGAACGUUAAGGAAGGGGGUUAUUUAAACUUCGGUUUAGAGAAGCUUCCGACUGAAGCGCGGAUGAACGCCGGCGAUAACUAUAAUCGUCCUAAGGUAGCGAAAUUCCUUGUCGGGUAAGUUCCGACCUGCACGAACGGCAUAACGAUUUGGAGACUGUCCCAACGAUGAACUCGGCGAAAUUGCAAGUCCAGUAAAGAUGCUGGAUACCCGUAGCCGGACGAAAAGACCCCGUGAAGCUUUACUACAACUUGAUAUUGAAUUAGUGUUUCACCUGUUCAGCAUAGGUGGGAGUCGCGUCUAACGCGACGACAGUGAGAUACCACCCUUGUGUUAUGUUAAUUCUAACGUACCCCCGUGAAUCCGGGGACCGGACAGUAUCUGGUGGGUAGUUUAACUGGGGCGGUUGCCUCCCAAAGAGUAACGGAGGCGUUUACAAAGGUUGGCUAGCUCGGGACGGAAAUCCGAGUGAUAGUGUAAAGGCACAAGCCAGCUUUACUGCGAGUCUGACCAGACGAGCAGUUGCGAAAGCAGAACUUAGUGAUCCGACCGUACGAUAUAGGACGGCGGAAGCUCAACGGAUAAAAGCUACUCCGGGGAUAACAGGCUAGUCACGCCCAAGCGCUCAUAGCGACGGCGUGGUUCGGCACCUCGAUGUCGGCUCGUCCUAUCCUGGGGCUGAAGAAGGUCCCCAGGGGUUGGCNNNNNNNCAAUUAAAAGGGCACGCGAGCUGGGUUCAGAACGUCGUGAGACAGUUCGGUCUCCUAUCCGCUACGGGCGUGGAAAUUUGAGAAGUCCCUUCUCUAGUACGAGAGGACCGAGAAGGACGAACCUCUAGUGUACCAGUUGUUCUCCCAAGGGCAUGGCUGGGUAGCUACGUUCGGUUUGGAUAAGCGCUGAAAGCAUCUAAGCGCGAAGCCGUCUUCAAGAUUAGAUUUCAUUAUGAGACCCCCGGGAGACGACCGGGUUGAUAGGCUCUAGGUGUACGCCCAGUAAUGGGUUUAGCCAAGGAGUACUAAUUGGUCCAUCAUAUAAUCA